GAUUCCCAGUGGCACUAUAUCUCUAUUGGAGUGUCCUCCAAAGGGCUGACACUGUAUGUAGACUGUGUCCUGGUUGAGAGAGUGAAGUGGGUUUACCCCUACAUGGGCAUUACUACUGAAGGACUUCUGACUGUAGGUGGGAUCCUUGAAGGAUUUGAGACACCGUUUGAAGGAGAGCUGAGACAGAUGACCUUCCUGAUGGGAGACUCAGACACCGCAAAAGAUCACUGCACCCUCUACAGCACCGAGUGUGGAGUCUCAAAGGCUCCGCGGUCCACACACAAAACACAGGUCCCUAAUCUUUCCUUGAAUGUCAGUGAUCUAACAAAACAUAACACAAAAUGGGAUCUUCACACCUUAGACCUUAAGAAUGUGAGCUUUACGGUGGAGAACGACGUUGAAGCUGAUAAACCCCCAGUAAUCACUACAAAGAGUACCAGCAAAGGAACCAAUGACCGGAGAGUUCUCACCUCUAUUGAAGCUUUGAGCCAAAACACAAGCACAGACCGGAGAAAAACACAAACGGGACCUUUAGACAACAUCAUUGACCUUGAUUCACCCUCUGCCACUGAUUUAGAAAAGUCCUUACAGCACCCCACUGAAACCCAAUAUAAACAGCCUGACCGAAACGUACUGAGGACUGAGGAGGACCUCCUGCCACCCACUAUAUCAUCUGACCCUUUGAAAAAUGGACCAAAGACGGCCACAGAGGACUAUGGAGGACAGGACAGGAUCCAAGUGAUUGGCAUUGAGCACGCCACCGUGCAGCAGGCUUUUCCAAAGCAUGGAGAUAUUAUCACAGGUCUGGAUGGAAGGCCGUAUAAACUCUUGAGAGGAGCUCCAGGACCACUUGGGCCUCCCGGGCG
rnacentral:lncRNA from 1 species